UAUGGCUUCACGAGAAAAGUGAACUUGAACUGAAGACGCCGUCGUGUCCCUUUUCUAUUCCGGGCUGAAUGGAGAAGGUCAUCAGGGGGCGAGGCUAACCAUCCUAUUCAGUGUCAGGCUAAGAGUGAGGAGAAAUAGAUUAGCCAUGUGCCACUGCUGUGGACGUCAAUACUGCAGAACUCCCCGCCACCCUCUGCUUGAUCAUUCAAGGUGACAUGAUGAAGCCCUCUGGAUGGCUUAUAUCCAUCGAGGGACAUGUCGUGAUGGGCCCACACCCUUUCUUUUUACAGGGAGUAGCAGCAUUCUUCAACAGCCAUUACGUAUUCAACCUUGAGUAGCCUGCCGCUGGAUCUUUGACAAUGGAGUUCAUUCAAAGGUGCUUCCUGGGCAUCAAUCCUGAAAGAGGUUCAAAGAUCAAGAAGCAGACAACAGUGAACCCUCAUGUGAGCACCCUUUUGAGGAAACUUAUGACUAGAAAGUUGAAUUUCUUGAACUCUUGAAGUUCAUGGCAUCUGCUGUACAUUGAAAAAUAUUUAUUUGUUAAUAAAUAUGCCAUUGGGCUA